rnacentral:rRNA from 1 species
CAGCCGCCGCGAUAAUACAGAGGGUGCGAGCGUUAAUCGGAUUUACUGGGCGUAAAGCGUGCGUAGGCGGCUUCUUAAGUCGGAUGUGAAAUCCCUGAGCUUAACUUAGGAAUUGCAUUCGAUACUGGGAAGCUAGAGUAUGGGAGAGGAUGGUAGAAUUCCAGGUGUAGCGGUGAAAUGCGUAGAGAUCUGGAGGAAUACCGAUGGCGAAGGCAGCCAUCUGGCCUAAUACUGACGCUGAGGUACGAAAGCAUGGGGAGCAAACAGGAUUAGAUACCCCGGUAGUCCCUGUCUCUUAUAC